CAGCGGCGUAAGGGACAGGAAUACGUAGACAACCUACCCUCGGGACCUGAAUAGCUGCGGGAAACUGCAGGUAAUGCGGGAUAACGUCUCCGGACCAAAGGUGUGAGUCCGCCGGAGGAUGGGUCUGCGUCCUAUUAGCUAGUUGGUGAGGUAAUGGCUCACCAAGGCAAUGAUGGGUAGCAGGUGUGAGAGCACGACCUGCGUCACUGGGACUGAGACACUGCCCAGACACCUACGGGUGGCUGCAGUCGAGGAUUUUCGUCAAUGGGCGCAAGCCUGAACGAGCGACGCCGCGUGCGGGAUGAAGGCCUUCGGGUUGUAAACCGCAGUCAGUGGGGAGGAAAUGCAUGUGGGUACUCCCACAUGUUUGACUAAUCCGCAGAGGAAGUGUGGGCUAAGCUCGUGCCAGCAGCCGCGGUAAGACGAGCCACACAAACGUUAUUCGGAAUCACUGGGCUUAAAGGGUGCGUAGGCUGUGCAGAAAGUUGGGUGUGAAAUCCGACAGCUUAACUAUCGAAGUGCACUCAAUACUACUGUGCUAGAGGAAGACAGAGGUAAGCGGAACUGAGGGUGGAGCGGUGAAAUGCGUUGAUAUCCUCAGGAACACCGGUGGCGAAGGCGGCUUACUGGGUCUUUUCUGACGCUGAGGCACGAAAGCUAGGGGAGCGAACGGGAUUAGAUACCCCGGUAGUCCUAGCCGUAAACAAUGAGCACUGGAUUGAAGGGUCCUCCAUAGCCUUUCAGUCGUAGCGAAAGUGUUAAGUGCUCCGCCUGGGGAGUAUGGUCGCAAGGCUGAAACUCAAAGAAAUUGACGGGGGCUCACACAAGCGGUGGAGGAUGUGGCUUAAUUCGAGGCUACGCGAAGAACCUUACCUGGCCUUGACAUGCAGAUGGUAGAAGCCUGAAAGGGUGACGAUCCCGCAAGGGAAGUCUGCACAGGUGCUGCAUGGCUGUCGUCAGCUCGUGUCGUGAGAUGUCGGGUUAAGUCCCGCAACGAGCGCAACCCCUGUGUCCUGUUGCCACCGAGAUGAGAGUCUCGAGCACUCUGGACAGACUGCCCCGUCCAAGCGGGGAGGAAGGUGGGGAUGACGUCAAGUCAGUAUGGCCCUUACGGCCAGGGCUGCACACGUACUACAAUGCCCGGUACAAAGGGAAGCAAGGCGGCAACGCGGAGCAAAUCCUGAAAACCGGGCCCAGUUCAGAUUGUCGGCUGCAACUCGCCGGCAUGAAGCUGGAAUCGCUAGUAAUGGCGCAUCAGCUACGGCGCCGUGAAUACGUUCCCAGGCCUUGUACACACCGCCCGUCACAUCAUGAAAGCCGGCUGUACCCGAAGUCGCCGCGCCAACUGCAAAGAGGCAGGCGCCGAAGGUAUGGCUGGUGAUUGGGAUGAAGUCGUAACAAGGUA
rnacentral:rRNA from 1 species